rnacentral:rRNA from 1 species
UCUCAUGCUCAUUAUAAGGAAUUUGGAGUCCUGAUCCCGCCUGAUCUCGGAAGCUAAGCAGGAUCGGGCCUGGUUAGUACUUGGCUGGAAGACCACCUAGGAAGACCAGCUGGUGUAGGCG